AACCGGGUCAGAACCAGGGAGAGAACCAGAGAGAGAACGGGUCAGAACCAUGGAGAGAACCGGGUCAGAACAGGUCCAGAGGCUGCACGAACACCGUGGCCCCCAUGCUGCGGAGAACGGGUCAGAACCGGGUCAGAACCAGAGAGAGAACCGGGUCAGAACCAGAGAGAGAACGGGUCAGAACAGGUCCAGAGGCUGCACGAACACCGUGGCCCCCAUGCUGCGGAGAACGGGUCAGAACCGGGUCAGAACCAGAGAGAGAACCGGGUCAGAACCAGAGAGAGAACCAGGUCAGAACCAGAGAGAGAACCGGGUCAGAACCAGAGAGAGAACGGGUCAGAACAGGUCCAGAGGCUGCACGAACACCGUGGCCCCCAUGCUGCGGAGAACGGGUCAGAACCGGGUCAGAACCAGAGAGAGAACCGGGUCAGAACCAGAGAGAGAACCAGGUCAGAACCAGAGAGAGAACCGGGUCAGAACCAGAGAGAGAACGGGUCAGAACAGGUCCAGAGGCUGCACGAACACCGUGGCCCCCAUGCUGCGGAGAACGGGUCAGAACCGGACAGAGAACCGGGUCAGAACCAGAGAG